ACCUUUUGUAUAAUGGGUCAGCGACUUAUAUUCUGUAGCAAGGUUAACCGAAUAGGGGAGCCGGAGGGAAACCGAGUCUUAACCGGGCGUUAAGUUGCAGGGUAUAGACCCGAAACCCGGUGAUCUAGCCAUGGGCAGGUUGAAGGUUGGGUAACACUAACUGGAGGACCGAACCGACUAAUGUUGAAAAAUUAGCGGAUGACCUGUGGCUGGGGGUGAAAGGCCAAUCAAACCGGGAGAUAGCUGGUUCUCCCCGAAAGCUAUUUAGGUAGCGCCUCGUGAAUUCAUCUCCGGGGGUAGAGCACUGUUUCGGCUAGGGGGCCAUCCCGGCUUACCAACCCGAUGCAAACUGCGAAUACCGGAGAAUGUUAUCACGGGAGACACACGGCGGGUGCUAACGUCCGUCGUGAAGAGGGAAACAACCCAGACCGCCAGCUAAGGUCCCAAAGUCAUGGUUAAGUGGGAAACGAUGUGGGAAGGCCCAGACAGCCAGGAUGUUGGCUUAGAAGCAGCCAUCAUUUAAAGAAAGCGUAAUAGCUCACUGGUCGAGUCGGCCUGCGCGGAAGAUGUAACGGGGCUAAACCAUGCACCGAAGCUGCGGCAGCGACACUGUGUGUUGUUGGGUAGGGGAGCGUUCUGUAAGCCUGUGAAGGUGUGUCGUGAGGCAUGCUGGAGGUAUCAGAAGUGCGAAUGCUGACAUAAGUAACGAUAAAGCGGGUGAAAAGCCCGCUCGCCGGAAGACCAAGGGUUCCUGUCCAACGUUAAUCGGGGCAGGGUGAGUCGACCCCUAAGGCGAGGCCGAAAGGCGUAGUCGAUGGGAAACGGGUUAAUAUUCCCGUACUUGGUGUUACUGCGAAGGGGGGACGGAGAAGGCUAUGUUGGCCGGGCGACGGUUGUCCCGGUUUAAGCGUGUAGGUGUGUGUUCCAGGUAAAUCCGGUUCACUUUAACACUGAGGCGUGACGACGAGGCACUACGGUGCUGAAGCAACAAAUGCCCUGCUUCCAGGAAAAGCCUCUAAGCAUCAGGUAACAUCAAAUCGUACCCCAAACCGACACAGGUGGUCAGGUAGAGAAUACCAAGGCGCUUGAGAGAACUCGGGUGAAGGAACUAGGCAAAAUGGUGCCGUAACUUCGGGAGAAGGCACGCUGACACGUAGGUGAAGUGAUUUACUCAUGGAGCUGAAGUCAGUCGAAGAUACCAGCUGGCUGCAACUGUUUAUUAAAAACACAGCACUGUGCAAACACGAAAGUGGACGUAUACGGUGUGACGCCUGCCCGGUGCCGGAAGGUUAAUUGAUGGGGUCAGCGCAAGCGAAGCUCCUGAUCGAAGCCCCGGUAAACGGCGGCCGUAACUAUAACGGUCCUAAGGUAGCGAAAUUCCUUGUCGGGUAAGUUCCGACCUGCACGAAUGGCGUAAUGAUGGCCAGGCUGUCUCCACCCGAGACUCAGUGAAAUUGAACUCGCUGUGAAGAUGCAGUGUACCCGCGGCAAGACGGAAAGACCCCGUGAACCUUUACUAUAGCUUGACACUGAACAUUGAGCCUUGAUGUGUAGGAUAGGUGGGAGGCUUUGAAGUGUGGACGCCAGUCUGCAUGGAGCCGACCUUGAAAUACCACCCUUUAAUGUUUGAUGUUCUAACGUGGACCCGUUACCCGGGUUGCGGACAGUGUCUGGUGGGUAGUUUGACUGGGGCGGUCUCCUCC
rnacentral:rRNA from 1 species